rnacentral:sRNA from 1 species
UCCGUAGGUGAACCUGCGGAAGGAUCAUUAAUAGUGCCCUCUGAUGCAAAUCAUUGGGUUAGAUCUGCUCUCUUCGCAAGAAGAGGGUUUCCAUACACACCGUGAACUGUGGCUUCGGCCAUCACAAACUGUUAGUAAUGAAUGUAAUAUCAUAACAAAAACAAAACUUUUAACAACGGAUCUCUUGGCUCUCGCAUCGAUGAAGAACGCAGCGAAAUGCGAUAAGUAAUGUGAAUUGCAGAAUUCAGUGAAUCAUCGAAUCUUUGAACGCACCUUGCGCCCUUUGGUAUUCCGAAGGGCAUGCCUGUUUGAGUGUCAUGAAACCUCACCCCACUUGGGUUUUUGCCUGAGCGGUGGUGUAUUGGGUGUUGCCUUGCUAAAGGCUCGCCUUAAAGACAUAAGCACCUUGGAUGUAAUACGUUUCAUCCUUCUGGGUGGCUGAUAACCCCACAUAUUCAUGAUCUGGCCUCAAAUCAGGUAGGGCUACCCGCUGAACUUAAGCAUAUCAAUAAGCGGAGGAAAAGAAACUAACUAGGAUUCCCUUAGUAACGGCGAGCGAACCGGGAUGAGCUCAAAUUUAAAAUCUGGCGUCUUUCAGGCGUCCGAGUUGUAAUCUAUAGAGGCGUUUUCCGCGCCGGACCGCGUCCAAGUCUCUUGGAAUAGAGUAUCAAAGAGGGUGACAAUCCCGUACUUGACGCGACAACCGGUGCUCUGUGAUACGUUCUCAAUGAGUCGAGUUGUUUGGGAAUGCAGCUCUAAAUGGGUGGUAAAUUCCAUCUAAGGCUAAAUAUUGGCGAGAGACCGAUAGCGAACAAGUACCGUGAGGGAAAGAUGAAAAGCACUUUGGAAAGAGAGUUAAACAGCACGUGAAAUUGUUAAAAGGGAAACGCUUGAAGU